UGGCUAUUUUUAAGAGCCAGCAUAGUGUCAUAUCUUGAGCAUUGAACCAGGAAGACCAGAAAUUGAAUCCUUGCUCAGCCAUGGAAACCCAAUUCUAGGUUGGCAGAAGCUGGGACUAACUACAGGAGCUCACCCCGCCCCAUGAAUUCGAACCGCUGACCUUCUGAUCACUCCAUGGCUUUCCCGCUGCAGGAUGCCAAGCAAUAAAAAUGGAUAAAAGACUUCUGCUUCAACACUCAAGGUUAGCCACAGACAUGCUGUCUAGUGUGGAUAGAUGUUAGCUACCUUGAGUCCCCAUGAGAAGAACAGCGGGAUACAAAGCUGAUGAUGGCAAUGAAGAAGAAGAAGAAGAAGAAGAAGAAGAAGAAGAAGAAGAAGAAUCAUCAUCAUCAUCAUCAUCAUCAUCAUCAUCUACUCCCCCCCCCCCCCCGAAGGGAAAUUUAUUCCUGAAAAAGAGAUCAUGGGGAAAAGGUGUCUCCACCGAAGCUUUCUCACCAAUCCUUGCUUCCACAACAAGCCAUUUUUUUAAAAAAUCCAAUUAUCACAGGGACAGAAAGCGAAGUGGAAUGUCUUGAACAGGGGCACCAACAGCAAAAUCCUUUCCUAUGUUGCUGAUAGAUAGAUAAUGUACCUGUUGAUUGAUAAAAAUGUACCUGUUCCUGUAGAUACUCAGAAGUUACUACAGACUUUUCCCAAGUAAUAAUAAGGAUCAGAACUUUUGCAACAAGAGUGUAGCAGCUGCAGUGUGUUAGAUGGGUGUGUUAACAACCCUAGUGAAUAAAACAAACUGUGAGUUAGCUGCUCACUGCUGUUGCUGGUUGUUAGCUACUGGUGUAAGUAGCUGGUGUAUGCAGCUAGUGGUACUGACUGCUAGCCACUGGUGUUGCAACUACAUGCUGCUGAAGUUGGAACUGAAGAGAAGCUAAAGAAAAAGCCAAGAGUGGGUGUUCCUCUCAUUGCACCAGUCAAGGGCAUCUUGGACCUUAGUAAGGAAAGACGUUUUUCCUUCCUAUUAUCAAAGAGAAGAUUUAUCAAGGAGACAAUGUUUGUUUACUUUUUCUUUGUAGUGAGGAUAUCUACUGUGAACUGUGUUACAUAUUUUUGUUACCUUAAAGUGGAUGAACUACUUUCAGUUUCUACUUUAAAGCACAGCUGACACAAGCGUUUUUCUUUCAUCAGGACUUGAGUUAAGGGACACACAGCAUAAAAGGGCUGCUAUAUCCUUAACAGGAUAGCAAUCUUCUGCGCUCUGCAUAUCAAACUAAAUAGGCAGGCUACUAACUAUGGUUUGACAGUUCCAACUUACAUACAAACUCAAGUUAAGAAAAACCUACAAGAAUCUAUCUUGUUCAUAACCCAGGAACUGCCUGUAUAUAGGUGCACAGAUUGCAAACCCAUCUAAAGAUUGAACAUUUCCCCAAUGCAUUUUUUUAUUUAUGUUUUGCAAUAACAGGACACAAUGUAGAAAUUCAAAGACUCGGAUUUCUACUUGUUGGCACUUCUUGCGUGAUCUCCAGCCAGUCGAUUUCUCAUUAGAGUUGGCUUAUGUCACUGAAGACUGAAUAGGAAUAUUCUCUACUAAUGGAUUUCUCUUUUGUAAUAUCACAUGUCUUUAUGUUUUAUAGAAGGCUAUUUUGAGGAAACAAGAAAAAUUGGCCACAAAUCAGCUGAAGUAGAUAGGCAUCUCUUUUAAACAUGAGAUAUGAAUAGCAUACUCCAGCCUCCAAGAUAUCUCAUAACGUAUUAAAUGCAAAUACAAGUAUUCCAAAAUCCCAACAAAAUCCAAAAUCCUUUUGGUCCAACUUCAGAUAAGAGAUACUCUACUACUAUCAAGAGUGUAUCAAAAUCCAGAUAAUGUUUCAAAUGAUAAAAACACGCAUUCCAACUUCUGACUUUAUUUAUUUACUCCAUUUAUAUCCCGCUCUACUCACCUCGAAGGGGACUCAGAGCGGCUUACAAAUCAAAUGAACAUACAAUAUAUUAUUAGCAUAGCACAAUAUAAGCAUUAAAUUACUAUAUUGUACUAUAUCAUUAUAUGCUAAUAUUAUUAGUAAUAUUACAUUUAAUAUAUAAUAUAUAAUUAAUAUUAUUAUAUUGUAUUAUUAGUAGUAUAAUAUUGUAUAAUUCAUUUGUUUUUGGAGUAGAAGAUAUUGUAGAUGGAAUUCCUUUAUAUGUUAACAACCCCCUUUAUGAAAGGACUCGCCAUUUGGUUCCCAUAUUCCAUUUUAUUAAUUUAUUAAAAAUUACAGCACUGUUACACACAUUUCGCUCGCUUUUCCCCACUUCUCACCCAGAUCAACAAUCAUAAGGUCGUUUCUUUGUAUUUUGGUUCCUAGCAUCUCCCCCAAAUCCCAGGUUAGUUUACAAUAAUGAUUUUUUUUUAAAAAAAACAUUCGAACACAUUAAAUAGCCGUUAAAAAAGAGGAUUUAGGAUCACAUUCGCUCCAUCACCCGCUUGGGAAACAAUCACUUUAUUUUGUAUAUAAGACGAAGGAAGGUGUGUUGCCUAUCCCGAAAAUAAAUUACUGUAUGAGAUGGAAACUUAAGAGUAUGUCACAGAACUACAUAGGACCCUGAAAGAAAAAGGCUGGAAACAGUCUUGACACUCAGCAAACUGCAAGGAAAUUCAAUCGAGAACACAACAAUAAUUAAUUCCCAUAUAAUUCUCCCUUUCUCCAUGGGAAACAGCUUCUUCAUUCUUCAUUCACCUUUCAUUCUGACUCAGACAUUAUUAGUAGUGGUGAGGUGGAAGAGGAGAUGGUACUGCCUAACUAUUCAUUGAUGGCAAACAAACAAGUAGCAUGACUGAUGAGAAGAGUAUAAUGAUAUGAGAAUGACAGCAAGAAAAUAGACUCAUGGAACAAGGAGGAGAAACAAGGAGACUCCCAAGGUCUCUUUUGACUAGUGACCCUCAAAAGUUGGAACUGGAGCUGGAUUCAAGACCUCACAAACAUGCCCUACCACAUUUCACAGCCAGAUUAAAAACCAGAAGUGAGUUCAAGACGGCAAGCUUGCAGAGCCUGUAACAGUUUGCUUUUGCUGGAAUCAAUCAAAAAGAGUUAGAUAUUACCUUCUCCUCUUUUCCCUUCUGAGUCAGGCUGCAACAACUAAAAUACACUGAGGACAAAGGGGGGUAGUGGGAAGAGGAUACAGAAACUGGGGCAUUGUAAAAGCAGCUGGAAAAAGCGUGAUGACAGAGGAUUAUUAAGGACUGCCUCUGACGAAUCAGGAUAGGUGGAGGGUAUGGAUAGGUCUACAUUAAUUCAUGUCAGAGUGGUGUUCAUAUUUUAUGAAUCUCUGCAACUAAAUAAUAGAUUAUUUCACGCUGUAUUUUCCAAUUAACAAGCCAUCAUCUUCUCCUUCCACUUUGUGCUUUAUCCAAGUAUCCCAUAGCAGAAAUAUAUUUGCUUAGAAAUAAAUAGAUCCAAUGGAGUUCACCUGCCACUACAUAAUUUUAGCCUAAAGAGACUCGAUUGACUCCAGUAGUACAAUACUCUUAUAGCACAAUGUCUACUACAAAGAUGUUUGUUCCGGGAUAAUUUUAAUGCACUGGCAUUGGUAUGUAGGAGAUAUUACAGAGGAGCCAAUGUGAGCUUUUAAAAAUUGUGAUAGUGUGUUAGAUGCAUUCCUCGUUCUAAGCCUAUCAAAGUAGCAUCCAGCCUUCUCUCUGCCAAUACGUGGGGCCGUGGUGACACUGGAGGCAGGAAGGAAAUAUCUCAAGGAAAUCCACAGGCAUAGAGGAGGAGUGGAGAAAUCUCCAAAGUAUUGCUAGAAAGCACAGUUCUGACCCAAUUCAGACAUGGUUAGCAUUUGGAUGGGAGAUCACACAUGGAUAUCAGGUGCUGGAGGCUAUAUUCGAAAUGAAGGAAUUGCCAAAAUAUCUUUGAAUAUUCUUCACCUAAGAAAUCCCUGCGAAAUUCAUAGGGUUGCCACAAGUCAACGUACAAACAUAAGAAAUCUUAGGUCAUGUUUCAGUGUUGUUGGGUCUUGUCAUGGCACUGCCCCUCCCCCCAAAAAAACAACAACAAAUGCCUGAAGGUGCCAGGUGUUGACUUUGAAUGCUGGUAGAGAAAUCAUAUUAUGUCCUUCUGCAUCCUUAUUUCUUUAGGAGCUCAGCUGCCAGGAGACAGAGAAGAGAAGCCACCUCCUACACUCUAUUUUUGUGAAGAUUUUAAAUAGCAACCAUAGUGAUAUUUAUUAUGGGACAUGACAAAGAUACCAGAAUAAAUCCUACCCGAACACACUGUUAGCUGAAAUCCACCCAAAUACACUCUUGUCCAAAUAAACUAUAAAUAUAAAUUUAAUAUUGAACAUAGCCAGGAGGACGCCUUUGAACACUGUGGCUUCCUCCUACACUAAAAUUCCCUUGCCUCCCCGCAGCCCAAAACAAAACAAAACUAAAGAUAUGCAUUUCACAUUAAAUUUAGUAUGGCCUAUUGCUUUCAAGUACAACAUGUGUUACCAAUGGAAAAUGUUCUGAACGUUUGUAUAAUUUUAUGUAGCACUAUUUACAAUAAAAAAGAUGGAAAAAAGUACAACAUGAUAACAAGUACAA